AUUGAACGCUGGCGGCAGGCCUAACACAUGCAAGUCGAACGAGUGGCGGACGGGUGAGUAAUGUCUGGGAAACUGCCUGAUGGAGGGGGAUAACUACUGGAAACGGUAGCUAAUACCGCAUACCAUCAGAUGUGCCCAGAUGGGAUUAGCUAGUAGGUGAGGUAACGGCUCACCUAGGCGACGAUCCCUAGCUGGUCUGAGAGGAUGACCCGCCACACGGGAACUGAGACACGGUCCAGACUCCUACGGGAGGCAGCAGUGGGGAAUAUUGCACAAUGGUCGCAAGCCUGAUGCAGCCAUGCCGCGUGUAUGAAGAAGGCCUUCGGGUUGUAAAGCACUUUCAGCGGGGAGGCGUUACCCGCAGAAGAAGCACCGGCUAACUCCGUGCCAGCCGCCGCGGUAAUAC
rnacentral:rRNA from 1 species